rnacentral:lncRNA from 1 species
CUUUCAUUAUGUUACUGUUUAUUCUGUUUGGCUUCUUUAUCUUCUUGCAUUUCCAAUUUCCUCACUUGUUUUAGAGAUCAUUUGGUCUCGAUGUAGAACCGUUCGGUCAUCUGUAGGACCGUUCGGUCUUUAUACUAUUUUCAUUCAUUUUAAUGUUUUCAAUUCUGUUUAGUUAUAUUUAAUUUUCAUGCAGUUAAUUUAGUUUAAUUCUCAUCUCAAACACUUUCAAACCCCCCCACUGUAUGUUAGACCUAAUUCUCGAGCCACAGUUUCGUCCUUGAGAGAC